rnacentral:rRNA from 1 species
ACGCUCGACACCUACGGGGCAGCAGUGGGGGAUAUUGCACAAUGGGGGAAACCCUGAUGCAGCAACGCCGCGUGAAGGAAGAAGGUCUUCGGAUUGUAAACUUCUGUCCUCAGGGAAGAUAAUGACGGUACCUGAGGAGGAAGCUCCGGCUAACUACGUGCCAGCAGCCGCGGUAAUCUGAGCGGGCUGGCAAGGC